CAACUCUUGGCUCUUCCUCAGUGUUCGAGGGGUUAGAUUUCUUCAAAGAUUAAUUAACUGCCAGGUGGGAACUGAAUUGCAUGGAACUGGAUCUUCAAGAACAUUGGUGACAGAAGAAGCUGAGAUUUUGAGUGUGUCUGCUCUGAGGAGCAGCAGAGAGCCAGGCAUGGUCACCAGAUUCCUUCUUACAUUGUGUACCUAAGUGGCCAGGUUUUUAUUGCAUUUCCCACACAUUGCAAGCAUUUGGCUUCUGUGGAAUCAUCAUCCCAGUCCUGAGCCCUGAUGAACCUCCCGUGUUCCUCUGCACAGCUUGCUUCCAGCAGUCCCAAAACCCAGCUCUGCUUCUAUUGUACGGCUGACAGCAGCUCCAGG
rnacentral:lncRNA from 1 species